rnacentral:rRNA from 1 species
UACGUAGGGUGCAAGCGUUGUCCGGAAUUAUUGGGCGUAAAGAGCUCGUAGGCGGUGUGUCGCGUCGGCCGUGAAAACCUGCAGCUUAACUGUGGGCUUGCGGUCGAUACGGGCAUCACUGGAGUUCGGCAGGGGGAGACUGGAAUUCCUGGUGUAGCGGUGAAAUGCGCAGAUAUCAGGAGGACACCGGUGGCGAAGGCGGGUCUCUGGGCCGAUACUGACGCUGAGGAGCGAAAGCGUGGGGAGCGAACA